UCUGCUUUCGCUCCUUCCCAUGAUAUGCUCCCUCGCAUCAGCAGCCAUGAUCGCGCCCAGCACCUUCCUCCACACCAUCUAGAUCGACCGCUUUCUCUCUCUCUCUCCCUCUCUCUCUAGCAUCGGCUGCUUCCUUGUCCGGCGGCGGCGCGAGCUUGAAUCCAUUGUCCGAAUCAGCCGGCAGCCGGGACGGGAGGGGACGGGGCGGGACGGGCGGCAGUAAGUUUGUGUCGAGGUUUUUGCUGAUUCUCCGAUUGCCCAUCACCAAAGAUCGUUUUUUGCAGCUCCUGUUGCUGUCUUUUUCGUUCCAUUCGAUUCCGCUUCGCUGUUCGGAUUCCGGGCAGCUCGCUUUUUCGCCGGUCUCCGACGAUCGGCGGCCGAAUUUGGACUCUGCCGAGCGAUCGGAGUAAAAGGGUUUUCCGUUCGUGUCGUCGGGGGAUCUGGGGUUGUGGGG
rnacentral:lncRNA from 1 species